AUGGCCUCCUCCAGCCAACCCCUCUCCACCGGCCUGAACAACACCAUCUCCGAGCCUCUCACACGUACCAACUACAUCCUCUGGCGAGCCCAAGCUCGCUCCCAGAUCAUGGGAGCAGGGCUAUAUGGGUACCUUGAUGAAACCCUACCCGAGCCACCUAAAACCAUCACCACCAAAUCCUCAGACGGGAAGGAUCAGAUCGGUCCGAACCCCGCUCACACCCCAUGGCUCAUCCAAGAUCAACAAAUCGUUGCAUACUUGCUCCGAAAUCUUUCCAAACAAGUCCUGGUGCAAGUUGCUUCCCUCGAGACUUCUCACGCCAUCUGGCCCGCCCUGGCAAACAUGUUCUCA
rnacentral:rRNA from 1 species